ACAUCUCAUGCCAAGAACAUGAGCGAGGAGCGUCCCAAGCUUUAUCCCAUCACCAGCCAAACCUCCUCUAGUAGAAAGCAAACCAAUGCGCCACUCUCCAGCACUCCUCUUCCUCUCACCUCAGCAUCAGGAAGGCAGCAUGAAAGCAGGAACAUCUUUGCAGAAGGAGAGGGAGGAUUCUUUUUUUUUCCUGCCCCCUUAUACAGGCUGAUAUGGUUAUGAAGGGCUCAGCCCUUCUUCCCGCUCCAGCUUAAGACAAUGAUUCAACCACGCAGAUGAGUCCCUAAUUUGGAGGUGACCUCAGCAACCCAUAAAAGGGCUUCAGUGCUCCCUCCAUGGAGAGCUGCAGGAGGACCCAGCUACUGCAGCCUGCACACAUGCACAGCCAUCCCUGAAGGCUUCAUCUGUCUCUGUAAGUCUGUAAGGUGUUGCCAAACACAGAUUCCAAUGAGCAAUUAAAAAAC
ensembl:lncRNA